rnacentral:rRNA from 1 species
AAAAAAACCAGAAAAGAAAUGGAA